UAAAAAAAAAGUAUAUGAGGUUCUCUUCUGGGAAUAGUAUACUGUUAAUCUAUUAUGUCGGUUGAUUGAUUUUGUUUGUAGUUAAACGUCAAGUGGCAACUAUUUCAUUCAACUGCGCAUUGAGUAUAAUUUUGCGACGUCCCAUAUAUCAGUCAAUCGGCAAAGACAAAUCUCUCGACAAAUCUGACGAAUUUGACGAGAUUGUUGAUAGUUUUACCACACCGUAUGAUUACGGACACUGUACAAUUU
rnacentral:lncRNA from 1 species